UUGAAUUGGUCAAUUGCAAUUUUAGGGUAACCAAUAGACGUGAGCGUUCACCUUCUUCUUCCAUUAAUUCCUUCUCAUCCAAUGAAUUUGCAAACAUUCCAAACCGCGUGCUACCCCCAUCCUUAUAUCGGAACUUCUAACGAAUCUUGGGAAAACCAAAUUUUACGCAGAUUUACUCGUCUGUCGUCUACCGCAUAUAACCGAAAAUAAUGUUUGUCAUAUAUAGAUCGUUAAAUGAUACCUCAUAUAGACAUCUUUAUUCGUUAAUUUUAUUCUUUUUUUUGUGGAUACUUCUGCAACUUAUUUUAUCUUUCCGACGUCAUUAUCGCCCAAGCCACUAUUAUAUUUAUUAGCUUGCUUCAGAUUUUUAUGUUAUAAUUUUGCAGAAAGUGGUUAGGUGAGUAAAUAUUUGCGUCUACAUCGAAUGUAACAACAGUCGACAUCGAGAAUAUCAUCUGUAUCACAUUCCCAAAGAAGAGAGUCCCAUUCAUAAAGAUUGAAUUUGGAAAGUUGGUAAUCAUUUCUUAAAAUAUUAUGCCAGCGCUAUUUUAAGACGCAUGGAUGUCCGUGUCGAUCAUUAUUUACCCGAAAUCAUCAAACAAAACCGUACAAAUAUUCGAAUAGAUGGAGAAGCAUACUGUAUCCCAACAACCAACAACUUUAUUACAAAAUAAAAGAGAAAGAGAAGAUGUACAAGAAAGACAGCACGUUAUCGAAAAACAGUUGAUCAGAAAAGGAGGGCAAGAGCAAGAAGAACGACAUCAAUGCAGCUACUGGCAUUACCAACAAUAGCAAGAAGCGGAUGAAGGAGGGAUAAAAUAAGAAGAAGAAAAUGAAUUAUUUGUUAAUGUACCAAUACUAGACUGUACAAGAGUAACGUCAUGAUUCGCUGACAACGAGGAUUCAGUUGAAUGGCCAACAAUUGAAUCUCGAACAAGCUGCGACUUUUAAAUUGUGGAAAGGCUAGGGAGGACUUUCGGUGAAAUAGAAUUGCAUGAUGAACAUGCUCAGCUGUUGAAAGAAAAUAAAAAUUCGGAAGCACUAAUAAAAUAUGUCAAAUAAAAUCUCAAAAGAACCGAAAUGUCCAGAAAUUAAUUGCGUGUAAAGUUGAAAGGAUUACAUGCCUUGAGGUGGAAUCAUUUAUGUAAGGUCAAAAUACAUGCUCAAGUUCGGAAAAGAAAAAGUUGCAAAAAGAUAGACUAAGAGACAGAAACAAAAAAAUAUACGGCACCAGUAAACAUAGUACAACUAAAAAAUUCCUUGAACAUGAAUCACGACAUGUUCCUCCAAAAAGAGGACGCUUCGUCCUAGAGAGUGAAGGUGCGGUUUCCUGCUGGCCCCGGAAACUCCUUUAUUCGUAAGAUAAAUCAAAACGAUCACUAUGAAGCCAGCCUAUGAAACAACCGUUUUCCGAAUUCCAUAGUUUAUGAAGAAUCGAUUCCUUCGAUGAUUCUAGGAACAUUCAAAGAAUAACAUUUCGUUACAUCGGAGGAAGGUUCGCGGCUGAGAAGAUAUCAAGAAAGAAAGACGCAGGUCUCAAAAAUCAAAAAAAAAAGGUGUAGAGGAGUUCGGAUUUCUUCGAAGACAGAAAUCUACACUCAUAUAAUACACGUCUUUGACUGAAUCAUUUUGGAUGAUUUCCCUUUAUAGAAUAGUCUAUUUGUGUAGAGAUAUACAUACAUAUUAGAUAUGUCCAAUAUUUGUAAAUGUAUUAUAUAUUUUCUUUGUUUUUGUUACUAAAUGAUUAUAUUGACAUUUUGUACUAUUUUUAUCUCUACUUUGUAUGUAUCGUGGUCCAAGAAUAUAGGAAAUCAUGAAUUUUUUUCCAAGGCAA